GCCCCAGACACCGUCCCCUGCACCUGCUCCCCUGCCGUGGGUGGCCAGGGCGGCGCUUACCCUGACCCCUUGAACGAGCUGCGCCUGCAGCCUGGCUCUUUCUCAACAAGCAGGGGACAAGCUCUCCUGCUGUGACCUGCAGUGCCCCCGUGCCCUGAGGCUGCCCCAGCUCACGGCCGCUCGCUCCAUCCGGGCCCCACACUCCGGGCCCCACUCUCACGUUCAUGGCACCGCGCCCAGUGCGGGCGAUAUUCCAGAACCCCGUUGUUACUGGAAGGUUAGUCCAGGCGAUGUCCUUCCUAGGAGCGGGGCAGGGCCGUGCGGGGCCGUAUCUGAGGGGUGUGUGCCCGGAUGGUCCAGGCCUCGUGAGUCCGUCCAGUGCCGAGAUGAAUGUCGGGGGGGGGGGGCAGGGGGAGGCCGCAAAGCCUCGGGGACCCCACAGGCACAACUUCUGGGUGCAGAGUCAAGAGUGGUCAGCCCUGGACUGCUGGUCCCCGAGCCCUCUCCUGGUCAGCGCCCGCUGGGUGCCCGGCAGCUCCAAGGCUGGCAGGGUUGCUGUUGGAGUGUUUGGCUCCGGUAUCAUUCCUGAUCCAGAGGCCGUCUCACGUGCCGACCAACUCCUGCCAGUCGCCGGGGGCUGCUGUCAUCAAGGGCUUGACGGGGGCCAGGAUGGGCUCCCGAGGUGGCCGCCCCACUGGCCACAGCAGGAGAGCUCCCCUGGAGCUGCUGGAACGUCCUCACCGGGGGGUGGACAGAAUCAGGAGGAGCCCAGGAGCCAGUCACCAAACCCCACCCCCCGAGGGGGUGUGGGUCCGUUCUGUGUCGCGGAGGGAGGAGCAGCCCGUCCCUCCCUGUCCCAGUCCCCUGGACCCUGGCCCACAGCCGGCCCUGAGCCCCCCUCCUGGUGUUGCGCCCCUCCCCGCAGCCCUCCCCUGCCUGGCUCCCUCCUCCUCUGUCCACAGGCACAGCCCCUGCCGGUCUGUCUGUCUGUCUGGUGGUGUGUUUCUCACUGGUCACCAUUCUCGGGUCCCACCUCCGUGCCCGGUGAGACGUCGUCUCAACCACUGAGCCACCCAGGCGUCCCCUCAGAUGGGCAAAUAGAAAGGAAAUAUUUGUCUGAGCCUAAAGUUACCUAAAUAAAGCGUUUGGUGCG
rnacentral:lncRNA from 12 species